GCUUCCUGUGCGCGGCCGAGCCCGGGCCCAGCGCCGCCUGCAGCCUCGGGAAGGGAGCGGAUAGCGGAGCCCCGAGCCGCCCGCAGAGCAAGCGCGGGGAACCAAGGAGACGCUCCUGGCACUGCAGGUACGCCGACUUCAGUCUCGCGCUCCCGCCCGCCUUUCCUCUCUUGAACGUGGCAGGGACGCCGGGGGACUUCGGUGCGAGGGUCACCGCCGGGUUAACUGGCGAGGCAAGGCGGGGGCAGCGCGCACGUGGCCGUGGAGCCCGGCCUGGUCCCGCGCGCGCCUGCGGGUGCCCCCUGGGGACUCAGUGGUGUCGCCUCGCCCGGGACCAGAGAUUGCGCUGGAUGGAUUCCCGCGGGCAGAGGCAGGGGGAAGGAGGGGUGUUCGAAACCUAAUACUUGAGCUUCUUUGCAAAGUUUCCUUGGAUGGUUGGGGACGUACCUGUAUAAUGGCCCUGGACCAGCUUCCCUGUUGGAGUGGCCAGAGAAGUGUGUAAAACACACUAGAGGGGCAGGGUGGAAAAAGAGACUGCCUUCAAAACUUGUAUCUUUUCGAUUUCAUUUUGAAAAAUAACUACAAAUCUAUUUUAAUUUUACAAAGUUAGACUCAUAGCAUUUUAGAUAUCAAUGUCUUCAUUUAACAGAAGUGAAGAUGGAGCAAACGCUCAAUCAGCGUCUGUAUUUAUUCGCUCCUGUUGUGCCAGGGUGCGUUUUUGCCGAGCGGUUGCCUUUCUUUACUCACAAAACCCCCUUGAUGUCUGUCCUCCACGUUUUACGAGGGAGAGCCGGAUCUUUUGAAGUUUGUAUCAUCUAAAGCAGGUAUAUUGGGAUGACUAUGGAUAGAAUUUAACCUGAAAACACUGAAGUUGACAGCUGACAAAGAUAUAAGAAUCCAAAGUAUGUUAAAAAUUAAGGAGCUGAGGCCCACAGAAGUGAAGUUACUUUUCCAGCAUCACACAGCAGAUCUAGGACCCUGUGUGAUUUGAAAAGGCCAAGAUAACUUGUCUGCAUUUCAAGAACAACCUACCAGAGACCUUACCUGUCACCUUGGCUCUCCCACCCAAUGGAGAUGGCUCUAAUGGUGGCACAAACCAGGAAGGGGAAAUCUGUGGUUUAAAUUCUUUAUGCCUCAUCCUCUGAGUGCUGAAGGCUUGCUGUAGGCUGUAUGCUGUUAAUGCUAAUCGUGAUAGGGGUUUUUGCCUCCAACUGACUCCUACAUAUUAGCAUUAACAGUGUAUGAUGCCUGUUACUAGCAUUCACAUGGAACAAAUUGCUGCCGUGGGAGGAUGACAAAGAAGCAUGAGUCACCCUGCUGGAUAAACUUAGACUUCAGGCUUUAUCAUUUUUCAAUCUGUUAAUCAUAAUCUGGUCACUGGGAUGUUCAACCUUAAACUAAGUUUUGAAAGUAAGGUUAUUUAAAAGAUUUAUCAGUAGUAUCCUAAAUGCAAACAUUUUCAUUUAAAUGUCAAGCCCAUGUUUGUUUUUAUCAUUAACAGAAAAUAUAUUCAUGUCAUUCUUAAUUGCAGGUUUUGGCUUGUUCAUUAUAAUGUUCAUAAACACCUUUGAUUCAACUGUUAGAAAUGUGGGCUAAACACAAAUUUCUAUAAUAUUUUUGUAGUUAAAAAUUAGAAGGACUACUAACCUCCAGUUAUAUCAUGGAUUGUCUGGCAACGUUUUUUAAAAGAUUUAGAAACUGGUACUUUCCCCCAGGUAACGAUUUUCUGUUCAGGCAACUUCAGUUUAAAAUUAAUACUUUUAUUUGACUCUUAAAGGGAAACUGAAAGGCUAUGAAGCUGAAUUUUUUUAAUGAAAUAUUUUUAACAGUUAGCAGGGUAAAUAACAUCUGACAGCUAAUGAGAUAUUUUUUCCAUACAAGAUAAAAAGAUUUAAUCAAAAAAUUUCAUAUUUGAAAUGAAGUCCCAAAUCUAGGUUCAAGUUCAAUAGCUUAGCCACAUAAUACGGUUGUGCGAGCAGAGAAUCUACCUUUCCACUUCUAAGCCUGUUUCUUCCUCCAUAUGGGGAUAAUACUUUACAAGGUUGUUGUGAGGCUUAGAUGAGAUAGAGAAUUAUUCCAUAAGAUAAUCAAGUGCUACAUUAAUGUUAUAGUUAGAUUAAUCCAAGAACUAGUCACCCUACUUUAUUAGAGAAGAGAAAAGCUAAUGAUUUGAUUUGCAGAAUAUUUAAGGUUUGGAUUUCUAUGCAGUUUUUCUAAAUAACCAUCACUUACAAAUAUGUAACCAAACGUAAUUGUUAGUAUAUUUAAUGUAAACUUGUU
rnacentral:lncRNA from 1 species